rnacentral:rRNA from 1 species
AUGGUACAGAGAAGAGCUCACGGAAGAGAAAACUUGGUGAUUUCACCCAAGCCGCCCAGAAUCCUUCCGCCACCGGCAGACGAGCAGCACCACCAGACCUCCUCCCUCGCCUCCGCCAUAGGUCCAACCAGCCCCGAGCGUGCUGGCCGGCUGCUAGAUCUGGCGAGCAACCGAGCCGCCACUGCAUGCCAGCCCUGCAGCCCGCCGUCGCUCCCAGUCACCCACCGGGAGGGGCUCCACCACCACUGCACCGGUACUCCGCUCCGGCCCCGUGAGCCGAUGAGCAGGCCGCCGCCGCCCCAGCCGCAACAGCAAACACACACACCGAUGCUGCCAGAAUUUCUUGCGCCACCUUUGGCAGCCGGGAAGUGGCUGGGUGGUGAGGUGGAUGCAGAGGAGGAGGAGGAGGAGCGCUUGAUGGUGAGGUAG